AUGGGAAUGGUCUUGGCAUUUUGCAGAGUCCCACUUGGUAUUGUUAUGGGAAGCCGGUCGUACAAUCAAGGCAGACAAGUACUUCGUACUCACGAAAGAAUUCUUUCAAGACAAAGAUGGAGUCUGGGUCAUGGAAAGGCAACACACUAUUUUGCUACUACCUUGAUUGAAAUGACUAUGCCAAGCAUAUCUGAGGUGCUUUAG